UCGGUCCGCGACCCCAG
rnacentral:rRNA from 1 species